GUUUUAAUAGUUUAUAAAAAAUAUUGAUUUUGUAAAUCAAAGAAAAAUAAUUAUUUUUAAAACU
rnacentral:tRNA from 1 species